UAAAAGUAUUUUAAGAUGGAAACGAUCAAUUUAGAUGGUCCCCAUAGCGUUAAGCCUUUGCCCCAACGACAGCAGAGAGGCAACCAACCGGCCAAUAAAGGCAAUAUUGGCAAGCACGGGGCUCCUAAACAAAAUGUUGGCCCCGAUGGCAGUCCAGCCGAAAAGAAGGCACGAUUCGGUGGCUUGAACAACCAAAAUGGCCGCCCCGCCGGUGGCGUCGCUGCCGGUGGCCAGAAUCAGAACAAGAAUUUCGGAAAUAAGGAUGGAUUCGGCGGCAAUCGCAAUCGCCGUGGAGGAAACCAAAAUAGACAAAAUGUUCAGGGUCCGAAUAACGCAAACCAAAAGUCUACUACUAAUGAAGCAGCGAAGCCGGAAGCCGGAAAUGUCGCUGAAAAUGUUAAUGAAUCUGUGGCUGCAACUCAGCAGCCAGCCCCCAAUGCAAACCAAGGUCCAGGGCAGGUUCAAGGACAAGGGCAAGGUGGUUUCCGCGGUGGUCCUCGCGGUGGCGGCCUCGGCGUCGGUGGCAAUAACCAAGCAGGUGGCGGCAACCAUCCAGGAGGUGGUAACAAUCAUCCAGGAGGUGGUAACAAUCAUCCAGGAGGAGGUAACAAUCAUCCAGGAGGUGGUAACAAUCAUCCAGGAGGAGGUAACAAUCAUCCAGGAGUUGGUGGCAACCAUCCAGGAGUUGGUGGCAAUUACCAGGGAGGCGGAGGUGUACGCGCCCAGCAACAGCAGCGUGAUCGCGGCAAUCGCGGUGGCGGCGGUCAACGGUCGGGAGGUGGUCAAGGGGGGCCCAACAUGAGCAUGAUGGGCGGUAUAGGUGGCGGUCCACGCGGUGGUGGUGGAGGCGGGGAUGAUUUCUUUAUUGCCCAACGUCUGCGGGCCAUUGGUGGGCCUACACUGGAGCUGCCACCCGUGGAGGUGCCCGAGGAGACCAAAUUCUCUGGCCGCAAUCGUCUGUAUGUGGGCAAUCUAACCGGCGACAUCACCGACAAUGAGCUGCGCGAAAUGUUCAAGCCCUAUGGGGAGAUUGGCGAAAUCUUCUCCAACAUUGAGAAGAACUUCACAUUCCUUAAGGUCGAUUAUCAUGUGAAUGCCGAGAAAGCCAAGCGCGCCUUGGACGGUACCAUGCGCAAGGGUCGCCAGCUACGCGUCCGUUUCGCACCCAAUGCAACCAUCUUGCGCGUCAGGAACCUCACACCGUUCGUGUCCAACGAGUUGUUGUACAAAUCUUUCGAGAUAUUCGGCCCCAUCGAACGGGCCAGCAUAACCGUCGACGAUCGCGGCAAGCAUACGGGCGAGGGUAUUGUUGAGUUCGCCAAGAAGUCCUCGGCCAACGCCUGUCUGCGUUUCUGCAAUGAGAAGUGCUUCUUUUUGACGGCCUCUCUGCGCCCCUGCCUGGUGGAGCCCAUGGAGGUGAAUGACGACAACGAUGGGCUGCCCGAGAAGGCCCUCAACAAGAAGCUGCAGGAGUUCAAUCAAGAGCGCAGCGUCGGCCCGCGCUUCGCAGAUCUCAAUUCGUUUGAGCACGAGUACGGCUCCCGCUGGAAGCAGCUGCACGAUCUGUACAAGAGCAAGCAGGAUACCCUUAAGCGUGAGCUCAAAAUGGAAGAGGAAAAGCUGGAUGCUCAGAUGCAGUACGCUCGAUAUGAGCAAGAGACCGAGCUCCUGCGUCAAGAGCUGAGAAAGCGCGAAGUGGACAAUGAGCGCAAGAAGAUAGAAUGGGAAAUGCGCGAGAAGCAGGCCGAGGAAAUGCGCAAGCGCGACGAGGACACUAUGCGUCGCCAUCAAACCGAGAUGCAGACACGCAUGGCGCGUCAGGAGGAGGAUAUGCGCCGACGCCAGCAGGAGAACACAUUGUUCAUACAGGCACAGCAACUGAAUUCGCUGCUCGACCAGCAGGAGGGCUUCGUCGGCAAUGGCGGUGGCGGCAACAACUCCAGCUUCGACAACUUCGGAGGCAACAGUAAUUCUCCCUUUGAAGUUUUUAGAGGAAACAAUAACAACUCAACCAUGACUGGAAAUAGCUCUGGCCCGGGCGGACCCAACAAACAGAAGCAAGUUGAUAGAAUGGGAAAUGCGCGAGAAGCGGGCCGGAGAUAUGCUCAAGCGUGACAAGGACACUAUGCGUUGCCAUCAGAGCGUAAACGUUGUAUCGCUGCUCGAUCAGUAGGAGGGCUUCGUUUGGCAUGAUUCCAGACAAGCCAGAAGGCCAGCAGAAGCAACAGCAAUCAAGAGAUUUCUGAUUUACUUCUCCUCGAACCUAUCCAAAGGCAAGCAACAACUAUGGGAAGUGUAUUCGGUUUGGAUGCUUCUGGUUAAACCACACGAUAUCUACGAUUGGUUUAAAUGUGGAGACUGUAGAAUACAAGAAUAUGAGAUUAACAGUGUGGGAUGUGGGCGGUCGAGAGUCAUUGCACAGGCAUUACUUUGCAAAUGCGCAGGCUCUUAUCUUCGUCGUGGAAAGCAACGACCGAGAGCGUGUCGAUGAGGCGAGAGAGGACUUGAUGCGCAUCCGAAAGAGCUCCGAGUUCUACUUGUAUUCGCCAACAAAAAGGUGCGACGAAGCGAAGGCAUACGGUAUACGCUGAUAAGGCAAUUCCAAACAUAUGCCAAUGGGUGUCGGGCACAGCACACCUCCACUGCGGAAACUCCUCCUAGAUGAUGACUUAUUAUGAACUAUACUAUGAUUAUUCAAGGAGGGGACUGAUAUGCCAACUAUCUUCGAGAAUAUUGUUUACAUUAUCAAAAACCGUGAUAUAAUCCUAUCGUUUGUUGGGAUCGUUCUAAGAUCUGCCAAAUGCAAUGAAUGCUGUUGAAACUACGGUUUACAACUGGUACACUGAAACGAUUAUAAGAGAACUCAAACCAACUGCAAAAAACACACUGCGUGAAUGCUCUACACCUUUAAGUUCUCCAAAAAGCUUAUUAAAAUCGUUCUUGUGCUAAUCAAGUUUAAAAAUGUU